rnacentral:lncRNA from 1 species
GCUGCCCCCUUUCUUUUGGAUGAUUUUUUCGCUUCUCCUUGUACCCUUUUUUUUAUAGCAUUCAUAGGCCCCAUAAUUCUGACCGCAUUCAAUUUUCUAAUUCCUCAAGGAUUCCUUUUGUUUUUAGGCCUUCUUUGUUCUGUUGCAUCAUGCCACAGGUCCACUCACAGUGCUCAUUUGCACCCGCUUAAGCCUACUCCCACCUUCAAAUCGCACUGGCGUCUAUGUCUUGGACCCCACACACUCAGGCUCAGCACGUUUGAACCGUGCACACAUUUGGCGCCCUCUGAUCUGUUUUCACUGUGAACUACUCACC